ensembl:snRNA U6 U6 spliceosomal RNA
GUGCUGGCGGCAGCGGCACGUAUACUAAAGCUGGAACGACGCAGAGAUUAGCACGGCCCCUGUGCAAAGAUGACGUGCAAACUUGUGAAGUGUUCCAUGUUUUU